rfam:Candidate division WOR-1 bacterium RIFCSPLOWO2_02_FTLL_46_20 rifcsplowo2_02_scaffold_6101, whole genome shotgun sequence.
GGGCGCUUAGCUCAGCUGGUUAGAGUACUUGCUUGACAGGCAAGGGGUCAGAGGUUCGAUCCCUCUAGCGCCCA